rnacentral:rRNA from 1 species
ACAUGACUCUCGACAAUGGAUAUCUCGGCUCUGCAUCGAUGAAGAGCGCAGCGAAAUGCGAUACGUGGUGCGAAUUGCAGAAUCCCGCGAACCAUCGAGUCUUUGAACGCAAGUUGCGCCCGAGGCCAACAGGCCAAGGGCACGUCUGCCUGGGCGUCAAGC